UUGCUUACUUGUUAAAUACUCUUUCUAGUUUCAUCUGGGCAAUAGAUAUCUCCUAGUUGUAGUAAAGGUUGUUAAGGUUCGUUUGCACAUGCUACUUUGUCGUUCACGUAUCUACCAUCCGUGGGUCAAAGCUUCCUCUUCACUUGCCAUGUGAAUGGAGUCGGACAUUUUUACAGACUACUUGCCUUUGGCUCCUUAGCAUAUCUCUCUCUCUCUCUAUAAAAUCAGGCAGGCCCUUCAAAUCAAGAACCCACUUCAUCAACUGAGUACCCACUUCCACCAAGGAGAGACCCGGAUUUCCAAGGUGGAAGAGGAGGUGAUUUCAUGGACAUGCACACACGGGUGAGUGUAUUUCCAUGCUAUUCAUGCCAAGUGAGCAGUCUUUUGUUUUUUAACCUUUGCUUCGUUGUCUGUUCGACCUUGAAACUGUUGUUAGGGCUUCGUGAACCCUAGGUAGUUGAGUCUCUGUCUCUCUCUCCGUCUCUAGGAGAGUAGAGAGAUCGUGAAAGCAUAACGAUAACAAACGUCUGUUGGAGCAAGUGUGAGCUCUACAAGCAAAAUCACCAGCUGGGUCAUUUUGGUUUGUCUUGAAAGUGUCAUACAAUGGUGCAACCAGAAGUUAUUGCGCUACCAAAUUAGAGUUACACCUAACACACAAAUAGAAAGUAUAUAUGUUAUCUUCAUAGCGUAAACCAGCCUAACACUUCCUAUAUUUAACAUAUGGAACACAGCUGACUUGCGGAUGUGUUAAGGUCGACCUAGAAAAGAAAGCGAAUUGAGGAAACUUUUAAAUCCUAGAGAUAAAGAACAAGUAUAUACAAGUCUCAAGAGUCCUUCUACUUUGUUUGCUUCUCUGCUGGGGAAAAAUUCCAGGGGGUGAUUUUUGUGAACAAGUACAUAGGUAUACCAUUAUCUCAAUGCAAUUAAGCCUUGAUUUUUGUACAUACCCCGACCUUCACGUAACAAAGCACAAAUUGCUUUUGGGUUCUGUUGAAUCUGUUCGUUUGAUAGAAAAUUAGAAAGUUGGUUGGUGAUGAUUUUCUCACUGGUUUGCAUGUGAAUAGGUGAUACAUCAGUAGGAUGAUCUCUAUAUAAUAGUAGCAGCCACGACAAUUUCUAGGAACUCCUACUUGAUCAUUAUGUCAUGAUUUACUAAAUGAGAUUGUUCAACUUAUUUAGCAUAUUUAGAGAUCCUUUUGGCUGGAGACUAAAAUUAUGUCUACUUGAGCUUGAGGGCGUGUUAACUAGUUGAGGCGAGUAUUAACAUUUGUAGGUUAAGAAGAUCUCAUCAAAGUGUCCCCGAUAUAUAUCAUGCAAAACGAUAGUUCAUA